UACGAAGGGGGCGAGCGUUGUUCGGAAUUACUGGGCGUAAAGGGCGCGCAGGCGGCUCUGAAAGUCAGAUGUGAAAGCCCCGGGCUUAACCUGGGAACUGCAUUUGAUACUCUAGAGCUUGAGUACGGGAGAGGAGAGUGGAAUUCCCAGUGUAGAGGUGAAAUUCGUAGAUAUUGGGAAGAACACCGGUGGCGAAGGCGGCUCACUGGCUCAUUUCUGACGCUCAGGCGCGACAGCGUGGGGAUCAAACAGG
rnacentral:rRNA from 1 species